UUCGUGUUCUCACAAGCCGGAUCGCCACUGCUUGUUCCCGCAGAACCUCUCCGGAUCAGUGCAUGUGCACAUGUGUGCUUCCUCGGCUCAGACGAAGAAGCUUCAAAUGAUGAACAGUGAAACUACCCCCUGGCUUUUGUCACGGAGACUCAGCCAACUCAGCCAGAAUUUCCCCUUCACCAUCUCCCCGUGUUGAGCUGACGGAGGAGCGAUGGAGAUCUCCCACAAUGCAGCGCUGUGGCUUGCAUCGUGGUGGAAGAUUUUACUCUGGGGCUCUGAUGCAGAGAUCACACACUCGAGCAGCUCUUUGCUUUUUGCUCUCAGGCUCUCUUGUUCUGCCACUUGACGUUAUUGCUGUUCACACAUCAGUCCGCUGUUACAGAGCAUAACGUCACCUCCUCACAGGUCUGUGCUGCUCAACCUCCAUGUCUCGUUUGCUUCGCGGAACAGCAGACAGCUGCAGUCUGAUGGUGAACUGGGAACUGAAUGAUAAUACCUGGUUUUUGUCAGGAUGAUUCACUCAAGAGCAAAUUCUCUGUGGAAGUUGUCCAAGCAAAGCGACUCCAAACCAUGAUGCAAGCACCACCAUGUUUGACUGGUCAUGUUCUUAUUCCGAAGCUCCAACAAAUAAAUCUACUUUUGCCUCAUUAGUCCUCGCAACCUUUUUUAAAAAAUUUCAAUUCUUGAGGUUUUUCCCAAACCUGAGAUAGACAGUCUUUUGAUUCUCUUACAGCUUCCCCCCCAAAUAAAAACUCUGUGUCUGAUAUAACAAUUUGUCUCAUGAUCUAAAUGUUAAUUUAAGCUUGAUUAAGAAAAAA